rnacentral:rRNA from 1 species
UACGUAGGGGGGCUAGCGUUGUCCGGAAUCAUUGGGCGUAAAGCGCGUGUAGGCGGUCCGGUAAGUCCGCUGUGAAAGUCGGGGGCUCAACCCUCGAAUGCCGGUGGAUACUGUCGGGCUAGAGUGCGGAAGAGGCGAGUGGAAUUCCUGGUGUAGCGGUGAAAUGCGCAGAUAUCAGGAGGAACACCGAUGGCGAAGGCAGGUCACUGGGCCGCAACUGACGCUGAGGAGCGAAAGCAUGGGGAGCGAACAGG